rnacentral:lncRNA from 1 species
GCGUUAAAAGUGUGUGAAGACACAGAAUUCGUGGGGUGAUUCAUACACCGGAGAAGAGUGCCCACAUACUAUGUUACUCCACAGCUAUUAUCGAUGAUUUGCUGCACAAACCAAUGAGACCUGCCGAAUGUGAUUAUCCCUUCUGUUUCCGGUUGUCGGUUGAUACGGAUACGCCGCUACUAUUGGUCAGCCUGAUGGCUACAAGAAGAGGACCCUUUCGUUCGGAUCGGCCGGCUGCCAAGACUUGGACAUUCUCCAGAGUAGCACUGCUGUUCAAUGUUGGUGCAAAGGAUUCAAGCCUGACUCGUAAAGCAGGAAUUCCAUGGUUCGGUAGUCCUUUGAGCAUGCACUUUUUCGGCUGCCGGCAUCCUUUGCUAGUUCCUGUCUUGUGGCAGCUCGCCAUCUAAUACGAGUCAGAGAUGGAUCCAUUCUCUGACGACGACUUGAUGCUGUAUUAGCAACUACUAGGCUACUGGCAGACGAUCCACACGUCAUAGUCUAGUUUCGGCUGGUCAGGAGCUUGAUACUUGACAGAGCAAUUCCAUGGUAGUGAGUCACAUCUAUCAGCGCGAGACGACAGUGUCUUAUGGAGGGCCACGUUUUGGCUGAUCUCUUGCAUGCAUGUCGGGGGUGGAACGUUCGAUGUAUGGAAGGAAGGGAGGAGGCUUUCUGCCUUGACGCCCGAUGCCUCAGGCACACCGUCGCUCCUGCCAUAUCUGAUCCUGUUGUUUGCUCAACACCAGGUUACCUCACAAUGUAAAUGUUUUAUCUACAGUACCUGUCAGGCUCCCUCGAUGGCGACUCGCACGUUGUGCUUCAACAGGGAUAGCCGUUGCUCACCACGGAGUAAUACUAGGAACAACCUGGAAACACACGUGGAAGCCAUGAGCUUAAAUUGAAGGCAAAGGCAGCGCUACUUACACAUGCAAUGUCAGAAGGUGGCUUUUAUCUAGGUAUACCACAGGUCUCUUUCAGAUUUCAACAUGCUACGUUGGAGUCACUAAACCAAAAUGCUGCCCGCAUAUUAGAUCUUCCACUAUGGUAUGGUGUAGCCUGCAGGCAACAGUAUCAGAGGGAGUCGGUAGUCUUAACGUGAUAGCAAUUUUUGCGUGGGCCGGAUUACACCCUCAUUCCGCAAAUCUGGUCAUAUUCAGUCUCGUCGGCGUCUCCGAAUUGAGCUAUCCAUUCUUAAAUUGUAUUGGCCACACCUUCAAUGGCUCCAUCAGCCGCAAGAUCAUAUUAUGGCGGAGACGUCGUUUCCCGGGCACAUCAGCUCUUGAGUGUCUUAGGUGUUCUAUUAUGCAAUCGGAUCAACAUUGGUGAUUGUCUCAACGAGCAGUUCAGACUGGCUACUUACCUUGAUAUCACGAUGAUAUCAAGUCAUCCCCUCUGCUGUCAGUAGAGAAGCCUCCGUCUCUUCCAAUUACGAAAGGACUAUGGCGAGUGUUUUGAAGCACGUUGACUUUGCGGCGAACUAUCUCAUCACCAGAGGGAGAUAUUGCACCAGCCAUCGUUGCAUUAAACAAGGUCAUCCAUAUCGUAGCAUCGCCGUUCUGCUUUCUUUCAACCUUCAACAAGGAAGACUACCUCCUCU